rnacentral:rRNA from 1 species
UUGUUCUUUAAAUGGGGACUAGUAUCAACGGCAUCACGAGGGUCCUACUGUCUCCUCUCUCCAAUCAAUGAAACUGAUCUCUCCGUGAAGAAGCGGGGAUUUAACUAUAAGACGAGAAGACCCCAUGGAGCUUUAAACCCGACUACACCUCCACCUCUUAUACCCACAUAAUCAACGGAAUACUGUACAUCGGUUUUGGGUUGGGGUGACCACGGAGCACAAACUAACCUCCAUGAUGAAUAAGACUAACCCUUUAUCUAAGAGACACAUCUCUAAGAAUUAGCACACUAACAUAAAAUGAUCCGAUAUUCGAUCAACGAACCAAGUUACCCUGGGGAUAACAGCGCAAUCCACUUCAAGAGCCCCUAUCCACAAGUGGGUUUAC